GGCAGAGGUUGCCCAGCACAGCCACUGCUGCACUGGGGGACACGGUGCCAGUCCCUGGCCCCAGAGCUGCUGGGGGAGAGGGACGUGGGCUGCUGGGCCGGGCUGGGAGCUCCCAGCUCUGCGCGUACCAAGGUUGGGCAGAGCCGUGUGGGCAGCCUGGGGCAGGAUGCAGGCACCCGCUGAGAUCCAGCAGCAGCAGUGCACGGCCUCGGGUCCUCGGGGAGCUCGGCCUGCCCGGGCGAGUGGCAUUGCCCCUGCGCCACAUGCGCCGUGCGAGCUCCCGGCCGCCUCCUGUCUGAGCAGUGCCCGUCUUUGCACCCUGCAGAUCCGCAGCUUGCUGGGGCAGCACAGGAUGCCGAGAGCGCCCCUGAGCUUGCCCACGGGAGCCAGGGGCUGCUGCUGGAGGUGGACGCCCACGUGGCCGGCACCGUGCGGGCCCUGCAGGACGACAUGCAGCGCGUGCUGCAGCGCCUGAGCGAGCUGGAGACGCUCACCUCUGUGCAGGUACGUGCCCGGCCACGCAGAGAGCUGGGGGUGCUGGCCUGUGGGGCUGUGUGACCCCCAGGCGUCGCCGGUCCCUGUCCCUGCCCACACAGCCCGGGUUGGCCCAGGUGCUGAGAGACCUUGGGCUGCCAUCGUGGCCUGGCAGGGUGGAGGCUGCGGAUGCUGCUCUGAGCUGCCCCGAGGUGCGGGCAGGGAGCUGCCGUCCCCGCCAUCCCCCCUGCCCCGGGUCCUGGCCCAGUUGCUCUGCAGAGCCCUGCCUGGGCCCGGUUGUUCCCAGCCCCUCUCUGUGGGGAUGCGGUGGCUGAAGGGGGGUGCCUGGCCCUGGCCGCACCCUGACACCUCUCCUGUCUCGCAGGGGGACACCUCUGGGGCUGAACCUGGCCGGCUGCUUGCACCACAGGCAGCGUUCCCGUGGCCGCUGGCGGUGUCCCCGCGCACGCUGCUGUUCCUCAUCGCCUGGCCCUUCGUCACCCAGUGGCUGCUGCGCCGCUGGCAGGGCACCAAGAGGUGACCGCCGCGGGACGGCCCCGCUCCGCCUGCCCCCACCGCCACCGCCCUCCUGCCGCUUCUCACGAGCCGGGAAAGCGCCGGGACCGCCGCACCCCCACCCCCACCGCCGCCUUCCUGCCACCGGCGGCCCCGGCCCCGAGGGAGCCGAGCUGCGAGCCCGGGACCCCCCGGGACCCCCGGACCCCCCCCUCGCAGCCGGCCCCGGGUCGGGGCGGGGCCGCCUCGCACCGCCGCUCCCAGCCGCUGGGCCCGGCCCCGCACGCACGGGGGCGCCCGAGCGCUGCCCGCACCCGCGGCGCCGCCAUCACACAGCGGGGAGCGGGGCCGGAGCCCCCCGGGGGGGCCCGCGGGGAGCCGGGGGAGCUGCGGGGGCCGAGGCCCCAUUAAAGCGUUGCCUUCUCAGCCCGGCGCCCGCUCCGUGCUCUGCGGGGACCCCGGGGGGGGGCACCCCGCGACCACCGGCCCCGGCCCCGCCAGCCCCGGGCUGUGCCCGUGCCCCCCGGUGGCGGGGACAUCGCUGGGGGGGGGGGGGGGGGGGCCCGGCCCCGCCCCCUCGGGCCUGGGGGGGUCCUGGGGGGGGUCCCCGGGAGGUGCUGCCCCCCCCCGUCCCCGUCCCUCCCUCUCUCGGCCCCGCCCCUCCGGUUGUGGCCGCGGCGCCUUUAAGCCGGGCCUCGUCCCCUCCCGGUUUGUUUACAUCUCCCUCCGCGCUCUGACCGCAUCACCCAGCGCGGCCCCGGGACUC
rnacentral:lncRNA from 1 species